ACCUGUAUGACAUUAUGCUGGACCAGCGGUUUGGAAAAUGAAAAAGUUCUCUUUUGUCAUAUUAAGCAGUCUCACUGCAAACAAAUUGCAGGUAGUUUUUAGAUGCACAAACCUCAGUCAAUAUAAAUUGUGCUUUUUUUUAUGACUUGCUGCAUAAGUCAAUGCCUGAUAUUCCUGUGUUUGUGUCUUGCAGUACAGUCUGGUUGUGGUGGAGGACAAGCAUUAUUACUGGAUUGGUCAGAGGACAAAUGUUUCCUCAACCGGAUACUGGAGCUUUCUCAUGCUUUAACCCCAGAGGCUCUGAUCGGGAUAUACAUGAUUUUAUUGGUGACAGAAUGAAUUCCCAGGCUUUUGAAGUGAAAAAAUAUGUUUUACCUAAGUUUGACAUCAGUGUAAACACAUCACACAUGCGUUGGAGAUGUGGGACUGAAAAAACACCUAUGGGCAACCUGUACCUGGUCAAGUGUUGGUGGUGGAUCGUUGGUGUUGUGGACCGUUUCCCUAUGUUUUGGUUCCUGAGGUGACCCGUCUGUGCCUGAAUGAAACCUCUAAGGUAUGACUACUGGUAUAACUCAUGUUUGUGGCGUUUCGUUUCCCAGAUGUGGUCAAUCUGUAACCGUGUCCAUCACGUUUAAAGUUGGAAAGUUUAUGUUUGCAGAGCUCCCAGAGUUUUUUUUUUUUUUUUUUUAAACCUGGAUCAACAGUUGACGGAAAGGCAAGUAGAAGUUCAUCACAUUGGUGUUCUUUCCUAACGUUUCUUUCCCAGCAGAUCUUGGCAUCUUAUUUCAAGCGCAUUUCUUAUUUCAAGUUAUUUCAUGUCUUAGAUGGUAGCCAGUCCCUUAAGGCCGGAACACACCAAGCCGACUCCGACGAACUAGUGGCGACGAAAGCAGACUGCGGGGUUGGCUCACGUCGGCAGCGUCUGUGUCCAAAGUUGCCCUGACACACCAAACCGAUGCUCGACACCCGACGGCCAAGUAGCACGUCCGUUCUGCGCCUGCGCAAGAUGAAAUGCCUUUCCGUACCAGCAGGUGGCAGUAGCUGAACAGCCAAUCAGAAUGAUCAGAGGGCCCGACGGACCAACGAGCGCCGAUUCAACAUUUCGAAUCGGCCGGAAAAAAGCCGACGAGGACCAACUUCAGCCGACGGUGCAGAACACACUGAGAAAACUUAGUCGGC